UACGAAGGGGGCUAGCGUUGCUCGGAAUUACUGGGCGUAAAGCGCACGUAGGCGGCUUUCUAAGUCGGGGGUGAAAUCCUGGAGCUCAACUCCAGAACUGCCUUCGAUACUGGAAAGCUCGAGUCCGGGAGAGGUGAGUGGAACUGCGAGUGUAGAGGUGAAAUUCGUAGAUAUUCGCAAGAACACCAGUGGCGAAGGCGGCUCCACUGGCCCGGUACUGACGCUGAGGUGCGAAAGCGUGGGGAGCGAACAGG
rnacentral:rRNA from 1 species